rnacentral:rRNA from 1 species
UACGAACGCUGGCGGCGUGCCUAAUACAUGCAAGUCGAGCGGACAGAAGGGAGCUUGCUCCCGGAAGUUAGCGGCGGACGGGUGAGUAACACGUGGGCAACCUACCCUGUAGAUCGGGAUAACAUCGAGAAAUCGGUGCUAAUACCGGAUAAUCAUUUGAAGUGCAUGCUUCGAAUGUAAAAGUAGGCUCCGGCUAUCACUACGGGAUGGGCCCGCGUCGCAUUAGCUAGUUGGUAAGGUAAUGGCUUACCAAGGCAACGAUGCGUAGCCGACCUGAGAGGGUGAUCGGCCACACUGGGACUGAGACACGGCCCAGACUCCUACGGGAGGCAGCAGUAGGGAAUCUUCCGCAAUGGACGAAAGUCUGACGGAGCAACGCCGCGUGAGUGAUGAAGGUUUUCGGAUCGUAAAGCUCUGUUGUUAGGGAAGAACAAGUGCCGUUUGAAUAAGGCGGCACCUUGACGGUACCUAACCAGAAAGCCACGGCUAACUACGUGCCAGCAGCCGCAGUAACAC